UUAUUAAUUUUUAAGAAAUUUAUGACAUUAAGUUUCAGUUUUUAUUAAAAUUGUGUUAUUACGAACGUUUCUCCCAAGUGCUCAUGAAAGCUGUCAGUGUGAAACACUUUGUUUAUGAUAUAUUUGUGUUUGACUUGAGCUCUCUUAUAAUAAUGCUAAUAAGCCAACUUUCGUAGGUAUGAUGAAUAGCUUGUAACGUCAACAAGGAACCGGUGUACUGCAGGCGUUCAUUUAUUCUUCGCUCUACAUGUGACAGUAAAAUUUAUAUCAUCGCGUAAUAAAAGCUGGAAAUUUUAUGAAAUAUUACUGCAAGAGACAGCCUUCCUUAGUACAGAGAGAGAGAGAGAGAGAGAGAGAGAGAGAAAGAGAUGCGAUGGAUGACGGAAAACAGUGUAUACCGAAAGCGACAAAAUUAAGUGCUUGUGAUAACAUAUGAAUUUUGCAGUAGCUUUUGUAAUUUUGUCAGGAGACCUUACACGCGUUCAGAUUCGCUGAUAUUCAGAUAAUUCCUAAAAUCAUCUCUCUAAUAAAACGCAAAAAUCAGACAAUUUACUGCAAGAAAAUAUUUUAUUUUACCACAUGUUUCGAGAAAAGAUUAGUUUCUUUUCUUUGAAAAACAGAUUUUUAAAUAUUUUACGGCGUAGCAUUAUUAAAUCUUUUUUUAUUUAGAAUUUUAUAGGAAACUGUUUUGUAGAUUUCUCUUUAACAAAAUAUAUUUUGUUGAAACAUUUUAAGAAGACAAUUCAGCAUUGAUUACUAUUUUGCUAGCUGUCAACAUCAGGUAUCUUGAUAAUCAAACUUUUAAUUAAAUUUCUAUGUUCGGACUAGCUGCAAGUGAAAAUUUUCUAAUAAACAACUAACCGACAAUAUUAUUAUCUCGCGGGUUUUAUUUCACGUAACCUUUGAACUUUUCAUAGCAUUAUCGGUUCGGAUGUUUGUUUAGUUUAAUCUUUCAUCGCAAAUGGUUGCUUUUUUCGCCGUUUACUCGCCUUUAGCAUCUAUGAUUGAAUUUACAUGUAGCGGUAAUGCGGGGAUGGAUUCUGCAUAAUUCACAAAACGUAUGCACAACUCGCAGUCUCGGCCCCUGACCAUGAAUCGUGAAUUAUUCUGAUGAUGGUGUACAAACGCUUAUAAAUAAUAAGAGAAAACAGACAGGAUGCGACGGUUCCUCUCGCUUCGGUUUUAGCUCUCUCCCUCUCUCCCUCCCUCUCUCUCUCUCUCUCUCUCUCUGCAUUCAUCGCUCGCGGUGAUUUACUGCGAAUUUGUAUAUGUGUGAUGUAUCUCGUACAUCCGCGCUCCUCUUAAUACGGCUCGACAUAAUGGAUAAUUGCUGUGACUGGUAGCCGAUGCGCGAUACCUAAGUGCAUUUAUGUGUAAAGCCAAAGCCGACGUUUGCCUUACUUCAUCACGUCCCAAGUACGUUGUGUCGUGCUCUGUCCAAUAAAUCGCGAAUAUCAUUCGUAGAUGACGCACGAAUCGGAUGCUGGACGGUCCAAUCUUCUCUCCCGCAGCUGAAAACCAUUCGGGAAAUUCGAAUGUAAAACGAAAAUAUUUGCGCUGAACUACCAAAUAGCGGAGGGGAAGCGGUAGAAUGCCUGGAAUCCUCAUAUCUUGCCUGUACGGGAUUUAUGAUAAAGGUGCGUAUGUGUGAGGCUAUUGAAACUAAAUUUUUGGCAUCGAAUAAAACUGCCAUAAAUAUCCGCCACGUCCAUAUACAUGAAUUUACGGAGGUCUGUUUGUAAUAGUUAUCGAUUGUUUGAUGAAUGAUAUUGCGUUUUGUAUUCGUCGGAUGUCAUUUCUCUUUCCUGCAUUUGAAAUUUAGAAGAUGAUUUUAAUUUAAUAAAAUUAUACGAUACGUUACAUAACGUUACAUAAAAAAAAGGAAACUGUAUUUUUUAUCACGAAUUAUCAUUUGAAACAUGUCCUGAUAUAAUCUUUUUACGCUGCAAAUCCUAAAUUUUUUAAAGAUUUUUCGGCGCUUUCAUGUUACAGUAGUUUCGUUACAUAUUUUAUUAUAAAUACGUGUGCUUAUGAUUUUUGUUUUCAUUACGCGAAUUAUGUUUUCCAAAUGCAUAAUGAUGCGCAAAAUAAAAGAAGUAUUAUAGUGCAUCGUUUAUAUAAAAAAUAUUUUUUUACGGAAAAUACUCUGCAAUUUUUAAUACGUGGGAAUUUUAUUUAAUAUUAUUAUUAUUUUGAUACAUUUAUGUAAUAUGUGCAUAUACACACAUUACAGUGGUAUAUGCAGUUGUAUCUUGAUAUCGCUCUUUUAUACAUCAGGAUAUUAGAUAAUUACAAUCUAUAGUUAUUUCGAAAUACACAAUUUAUUCGAAAUAGUUUGUACCCAAAUCGGAUCGAGAUGUACUUAAUCCAUCCUGCGUUCCCAGCAAGCAUUCGUUAGGACUUUUAAUUACUCCCAAGGCACUUUCAAGUAUACAGUUUCUCAUUAAACUCUCUGUUAAACUCCGUGAAAUCAGUUUCAAUUCUUUUCUGGCUAAAUGCAUAUUUAAAGAGCAAAUCGUGACGAAGCAAUUACAAGUCUCCUGCGACUUCUGGUUUAAAGAUACUAACUCGGAGUUUUAAUUCGCCGAGAAUUUAAAAAUUAAAGAAGAAGGGAACGUUGCGAUCAUUUACAAAAGCAAUCCAGAUAAAUUCUGUAAUGAUAAAAUUCAUUAGCCGAAAUAUAAAAUCGAUAUACAUGUACAUUUACUUACAAUUAGUAGUAUAAAAUGGUUUUACUCAAAAAUAUAUUAUAGAAAAUUUCUUUAGUGAUUAAUUAUUCCGAGUCGAUCUUUUUUAGCAUAAUGAAUAUUAUGAGGUAAUAUUUUUUAUCCAACUAAAAUUGAAAAUUUCGGGAUUUUGAGAUAUUAAAUAAAUUUCUAAAGUCAAAUUAAAUCUCAGAGACGCAAACAGAUAAAACUUUGCGCCUUUAUCCACACACACACACAACUUGUGAAAGUCUUUACUUUAAUCAAUCUUGAAUUUGCGGAUUGUUUAGAAAGAUAUCGCAUAUUAAACUGAGAAAGUUGUAGAAAGAGGAACGAUUUAAUUAGGUCGCUUCAUCGAAAAGUUUAACUUGGCCGAAGUAUGCCAAAAUGGAAUUAAAUGCGGAGAACUUAGGACACUUUUAAAGCAUUGAAAAAACAUGAUGUUCAAGACGUGCCAUUUUAAAUCCGUUAAGUCGUAUUUAAAUUUUUGUUGUACUUAAUUGCGCUAAAAGCAACAGCAAUUUUACCUGCGUUGCAUUGAUGUAUAGAGGACUCGCACGCGUUGCAACGUACAAAAUUAAAAUAACGAGACACACAGAACCGCGUGCGUGACACAUAUCUCAAUGUAAUUUCCUCCGAUGUCGUUAGCGAAAUAUUACGUCCAGUAAAAACAACAAUGUGUUGCUUUAAAUGGCUGGGUCACGCGAAAAUUAAACGUCAUCCGUAAGCUCAAUCGGAAAUGAAUAACCAAUAAAAGUGGUGAGUUUGUCCGCGCUUAAAAUCACUUGAACAUAUCAGAGACAACAUAAAUUUUACGCUGGCGUAAUGACGUAUUGUACGUGCUUGACGUUCAACGUGAAAAACGUUAUUAUAUUAUUAUUCUUAGCAGAAAGUAAUGAAACAAUUACAUUGUUCUGUCAUCGCGUUGCAUGUUAUGUAACCAUUGUAUAAUUAGUCCGCGCAUUAUUUAAGUGUGGUCAGAUAGAAGCCGUUCUUUCCCUGAAAUCAAUCUAUCAUUUUUAUUAAAAACUCGAUAUGUUAUAAUUUUACAUGAAUAUUAAAAAUCAAUAAUAAAUCUUUAAUGUAUUAAUCGUAUCAGAAUUUUUGCACGCAAGGCAUAAGAAUAUCGACGAAAUAUGUUAACUCUCGCAAUUAUUCUUAUCCGCCGGCUGCUACUCAAUCUCGUAGUGUACUUAUGGUUGUAAUCUUAAGUGUAACUUACAACUAUGUGGUAAAUCCUUUAUCACUCCCAUCACUGAAUAUUAACACGGAUAUUAUCGGCAUGCCCGAGAAUGAAGAUACAACGCAGCGCAAAUGUACCACAACUCUUAUUUAAUUUAUAUUAAUAUCUCAGCGAGAUAAACGUUACGUUAUCCUGAUAUCGAUGAUAACGAAACGCAAUUUGAUUAAUUAAACAGAAGUAGGUACAAACUCGAUAUUACUACUACGUUUCAUAUAAAAUACCAAAUGGAUGAUUUGUAUUAAACGGGACAUCAAAAUUAUGCAUAAAAAAAGACUCUUUUUCUCGUUUAAUAAACAUUUAUGAUGUCAGGUCGGAGACAAUUCGAUAGGACAUUUCACAAAUUUCCCUCCGUUAUUUUAUCUCACAGUUACUUAUUUAUUUUUCUUUCUCUCGCGCGCAUUCCCGUCGUCUUCCUCGCAUUUGUGCGUACUCCAGACGGUUUCACUUUCAAGAAACGUGAAACAAAAGACCGGGAAAUCAACAGUAUCUUUGAAAACGAGGAAAUGCUUGCUGCUGUUAACGUCGCGUCGUGAAAAAGCUUCAAGAAACAAGAAUGUAUCCUCACUGAUUCCCGUAAUUGGCUUCCAACCUGCCGUCAUUUUCUUGUUAACGAAGAAACGCGUCUCUUUUGCAACAAACGCAACGCACCCACAGGAGAUCUUGAAAAAAUGUGGCGUGUAACACAUAUAUCUCAAAGAUAUGUGAGUCGCUUAACGUAUCGAUCAACGGAUCGUAAACUCUUACUGAUUAUUUUGGUUUGUUAUCAGUUCCCUUCGCGAAGGGACCAACGAACACUUUGCUAUCCGCUACAAACACGUAACAAAUCCGUACGAGACAAUGCUCGUUUCCCUUUCUUUUAUAUAUAUAAUAACCGUAUUUGCCGUUCUCUUCCUAACAAAUCUCUAGCACGCAAGGGGAAGCGUCUGUUGCUAUCUGAUAUUACGGAAUUGUGGAAGGCAGGGGAGAAGAAUUCUAUUCCAUUGCCAACGUGAAGAGGGUUGUGUGUCUGAUAUAUCAUACUUAUCAUAUAACUCAUUUCAACUAAAGAGGACAUUACCUGCCUCGUAAGAAGAUUUGGUUCAGCCAUUUUGCCGGUUAUAAUAGAUCAUUCCUUAAUCCAAAUACUUCUUUUCAUAUGUUAUUCAUAUUACUGUCAGGGAAAUUAUAGCAUGCGCUUAUAUGAUAAAUUAGCUCGUGCGGGAAAUGCAAAAUUGCACAUAAUUUCGCUGGAAAUCUCGAAAGAUAGAAAUCGUUUCAUGAGAGACUGGAGUCGCGUUCUUCUUCAUUAUUUUCACAUAAAAAUAUGUGUCCUUGCAAUUUUAAGAAAUAUUGCUCCUUAAUAAAUUUACCUUGGAGUGUGCUAAAUUAACAGUUCUAUCAAUAUUUAAAGUGAGAUAAAGAGUGAGAUAAAGGGAUCUUUGCGCUCCAAUAUCUGGAUGGCGUUAAUUAAAAAUAUCGGAAUAUUAAUCUCGCUAUUAAUUAGAGGAGCUCUCUUUUUCCUUAUCGCAAAGAACGCUACAGAGGCUGCAGAGAUAACCUGAAGUAAAACGAAAAGAUAAUGUAAGAUUAUACAUUACAGUCGUACGAAAGAAGAUGCUGCUAGAAUAAUUAUGAGACCAAAGACAAAAAAGUGCGAGAAUAAGAAUGUGUGUGGAAACAAUUCGGUAUCUUUGUAACAAUGCAAGCCGAAAGCGACUGCGGCAUAAGAAUUAACGCUCGCGAGAGAUGCGGGAAGGUUUGUGGAGAUAGAAAAAUCCGCAACCGCAACAAUUUAUCGGCUCCGUUUGUCCUCGCGUGCGUGGGCGGUUACAAAUAAAUAAAAAUCUAAAUCUAGUGGACAACUUUAUGCUCCUGAAAUUGCACGACAGUUCUAUUCAAGACGAUAAAGUCAACCGUAAAUGGUAGGCAACGAUUAAUCGCGGCAAUUCGUUGAAUUGCGCAGUAAUUGCAGCAAUUUGUUACAGGAGUGCUCCGUCGGACAGACUGACUGAUUUAAACGAGCUCUAAUUUAUUGUGGUUCACGGUUUUUUUAUUUUUUUGUAAUAUGUAGCUUUCACAGUCUCGCGAUUGAUGGCAGUAUCGAGCGUAUCAAAUGUGCUGUUGUCUGCAAUAAAGGCAAGCGCGAGAUUGUAAACGAAACUAUUCGUGGCCAUAGGUCGACUGCUACGCACUUUUGAACUCGGGUUACCUUUUUGCUCACUUGUCCUAGGACAUUUGACAUUUUGGCGGAUUGUAAUAACUCAUCGGAAUUUGAAAGUUUAGCCUUUAUGAAACUUGACCGAAUGGUCCGAUUCAUCACUAUUCGGCAAGAGUUCCCAAUCGGAAUUGGGAAUCCGUGAAACGAAUGUCGCUCCAGAAAUGUUGAAAAAGCAUUUGAGCCCGUAUUUAUAAAACUGCAACAGACUUGUCACUUUGAAUAUGAUUGUUUAUGAUAACAUAUUGUAAUAAGUGACAUAAAAUUAUUUUAUUCAUUGAUAAAGAAUGACGUGAUAAUGGUACUAUGUCGUUAUUGCAAUAUUCUGCAAUAAUUGGAAAAAAAUUAAUAUUUCAAAUUAUAUUAUAACAAGGCGCUUCUCGCAAAACUGGUCUCUUUAUAAAAAUGGGUACAAAGAAAGCACUUCAAAGAGAAAUACUUUGCGUAACCGUUUUUUUGUUAUUUUUUGGAAGUAAAAUGCAAAUUACUUUCA